rnacentral:rRNA from 1 species
GUUGUUCGGAAUCACUGGGCUUAAAGGGCGCGUAGGCGGGCUGUCAAGUCUGGGGUGAAAUGCCGCGGCUCAACCGUGGAACUGCCUCAGAUACUGACGGCCUCGAGGAAGGUAGGGGCAUGCGGAACUGUAGGUGGAGCGGUGAAAUGCGUUGAUAUCUACAGGAACUCCGGUGGCGAAAGCUGCGUGCUGGACCUUUUCUGACGCUGAGGCGCGAAAGCUAAGGGAGCAAACGGG